rnacentral:snoRNA from 1 species
UUAUGCUGCUUAAAAGAAAUCAGACCCCCGGGCCUCUCAUAGAGUGCCAUGGCAAAUCAUACUGGCCACAAAGCAUUGCCUGGCCUGUGCCCAUGUACUACAGGCACUGAAGUGGGUUGCACAGUG